rnacentral:rRNA from 1 species
CUAGUUGGUGGGGUAAUGGCCCACCAAGGCGACGAUCAGUAGCUGGUCUGAGAGGAUGAUCAGCCACACUGGGACUGAGACACGGCCCAGACUCCUACGGGAGGCAGCAGUAGGGAAUCUUGCGCAAUGGGCGAAAGCCUGACGCAGCGACGCCGCGUGGGGGAUGAAGGCCUUCGGGUUGUAAACCCCUUUCAGCAGGGACGAAGCGAAAGUGACGGUACCUGCAGAAGAAGCGCCGGCUAACUACGUGCCAGCAGCCGCGGUAACACGUAGGGCGCAAGCGUUGUCCGGAAUUAUUGGGCGUAAAGAGCUCGUAGGCGGUCUGUUGCGUCCGCUGUGAAAACUCGGGGCUUAACCCCGAGCCUGCAGUGGAUACGGGCAGACUAGAGGUAGGUAGGGGAGAAUGGAAUUCCCGGUGUAGCGGUGAAAUGCGCAGAUAUCGGGAGGAACACCGGUGGCGAAGGCGGUUCUCUGGGCCUUACCUGACGCUGAGGAGCGAAAGCGUGGGGAGCGAACAGGAUUAGAUACCCUGGUAGUCCACGCCGUAAACGUUGGGCGCUAGGUGUGGGAUCCUUCCACGGAUUCCGUGCCGCAGCUAACGCAUUAAGCGCCCCGCCUGGGGAGUACGGCCGCAAGGCUAAAACUCAAAGGAAUUGACG